AAUCUAUGUUGUGGGCACUUCCCCAAAAGUUCCUCGAAUCGCUCCCAUGUCUCAAACAAGGAUUCGAGCUGCAUCUGAGCAAAUGAUGAUAUCUCAUUGCGAAGCUC